CGCGGCCUAUCAGCUUGUUGGUGAGGUAAAGGCUCACCAAGGCAAUGACGGGUAGGCGAAGUAAGAGCUUGAUCGCCAACAGGGGCACUGAGACACGGGCCCCACCUCUACGGAGGGCAGCAGUCGAGAAUCAUAGACAAUGGGGGAAACCCUGAUCUUGUGACGCCGCGUGUCUGAUGAAUCCCUACGGGGUGUAAAGGACUUUUCUCAGGGAAGAAGCUACAUCUUUUGGAUGUGGUUGACGGUACCUGAGGAACAAGGGGGUGCCAAUCACGUGCCAGCAGCAGCGGUAAAACGUGGUCCCCAAGCGUUAUCCGGAAUCAUUGGGCGUAUAGGGUCCGUAGGCGGUUUGUUAAGUUUCUUGUUAAAGUCCCGGGGCUCAACUUCGGGAGAGCAAGAAAAACUAACGAACUAGAGGGCAUCAGGGGCUGGCGGAACGGCUGGUGUAGGUGUGGAAACCGUUGAUAUCAGCCGGAACCCCGAAAGCGAAGGCAGCCAGCUGGGGUGACCCUGACGCUGAGGGACGAAGGCAUGGGUAGCGAAGAGGAUUAGAUACCCUCGUAGUCCAUGCUGUAAAUGAUGAACACUAGCUGCUUGAAGUGUCGACCCUUCAAGUGGCGAAGCUAACGCGUUAAGUGCCCCGCCUGGGGAGUACGG
rnacentral:rRNA from 1 species